UACAGGGGGGGGCAAGCGUUGUUCGGAAUUACUGGGCGUAAAGGGUUCGUAGGUGGCUCACUAAGUCACACGUGAAAUCCCUCAGCUUAACUGGGGAACUGCGUGUGAAACUGGAGAGCUUGAGGGUAGGAGAGGAAUGCGGAAUUCCAGGUGUAGCGGUGAAAUGCGUAGAUAUCUGGAGGAACACCGGUGGCGAAGGCGGCAUUCUGGACUAUUUCUGACACUGAUGAACGAAAGCCAGGGGAGCAAACGGG
rnacentral:rRNA from 1 species